ensembl:ncRNA C05C9.5 ncRNA
AGCUCGGUGAUAAUUGAGAAGAUUAACAAGAUGUGCGGUGAAAAAGAGAAAAGCAGUGUGUAAUCUGAUGAGAUCAAUCUGACAUGUGUUGUCAUGUUCAGACAAGACGGCUCAGGUUACCGUAUUCUCGGUUGCUGAUAACACGGCU